GAUGAACGCUGGCGGCGUGCCUAAUACAUGCAAGUCGAGCGAACAGACGGGGAGCUUGCUCCUCUGACGUUAGCGUCGGACGGGUGAGUAACACGUGGAUAACCUACCUAUAAGACUGGGAUAACUUCGGGAAACCGGAGCUAAUACCGGAUAAUAUAUUGAACCGCAUGGUUCAAUAGUGAAAGACGGUUUUGCUGUCACUUAUAGAUGGAUCCGCGCCGCAUUAGCUAGUUGGUAAGGUAACGGCUUACCAAGGCAACGAUGCGUAGCCGACCUGAGAGGGUGAUCGGCCACACUGGAACUGAGACACGGUCCAGACUCCUACGGGAGGCAGCAGUAGGGAAUCUUCCGCAAUGGGCGAAAGCCUGACGGAGCAACGCCGCGUGAGUGAUGAAGGUCUUCGGAUCGUAAAACUCUGUUAUUAGGGAAGAACAAAUGUGUAAGUAACUAUGCACGUCUUGACGGUACCUAAUCAGAAAGCCACGGCUAACUACGUG
rnacentral:rRNA from 1 species